rnacentral:rRNA from 1 species
ACUUAAAUUGAAGAGUUUGAUCAUGGCUCAGAUUGAACGCUGGCGGCAGGCCUAACACAUGCAAGUCGAACGGUAGCACAGAGGAGCUUGCUCCUUGGGUGACGAGUGGCGGACGGGUGAGUAAUGUCUGGGAAACUGCCCGAUGGAGGGGGAUAACUACUGGAAACGGUAGCUAAUACCGCAUAACGUCGUAAGACCAAAGAGGGGGACCUUCGGGCCUCUUGCCAUCGGAUGUGCCCAGAUGGGAUUAGCUAGUAGGUGGGGUAACGGCUCACCUAGGCGACGAUCCCUAGCUGGUCUGAGAGGAUGACCAGCCACACUGGAACUGAGACACGGUCCAGACUCCUACGGGAGGCAGCAGUGGGGAAUAUUGCACAAUGGGCGCAAGCCUGAUGCAGCCAUGCCGCGUGUAUGAAGAAGGCCUNGGGGUAACGGCUCACCUAGGCGACGAUCCCUAGCUGGUCUGAGAGGAUGACCAGCCACACUGGAACUGAGACACGGUCCAGACUCCUACGGGAGGCAGCAGUGGGGAAUAUUGCACAAUGGGCGCAAGCCUGAUGCAGCCAUGCCGCGUGUAUGAAGAAGGCCUUCGGGUUGUAAAGUACUUUCAGCGAGGAGGAAGGCAUUGUGGUUAAUAACCGCAGUGAUUGACGUUACUCGCAGAAGAAGCACCGGCUAACUCCGUGCCAGCAGCCGCGGUAAUACGGAGGGUGCAAGCGUUAAUCGGAAUUACUGGGCGUAAAGCGCACGCAGGCGGUCUGUCAAGUCGGAUGUGAAAUCCCCGGGCUCAACCUGGGAACUGCAUCCGAAACUGGCAGGCUAGAG